ensembl:lncRNA
AAAGGGAGUGUGAGAAUUGCACUAUUCACCUUGUAGUGAUAUUUAUGGGCGGAAAAAAACCCUCUAAAUUCUCUGAUUUCAGCGCCUUAAAUGUGAAUAUGUUCUUGUUUUCUUUGCUCCUCAUGACAGUAAACCUAAUAUAUCUUUAGUGUGUGGAAAAAUACAAAACUUAAUUUUGGGUUUUGGAAAGCACGAUCAACAUUUUUUCACCAUCUUAUGACAUUUAAUGGAACAAACAACUGAUCUAUUAAUCGAGAAAAUAAUCGACAGAUUAAUCGAUGAUGAAAAAAAUGUGUUAGUUGCAGCCCUAAUGCGAACCCUGCGCACGCACUUCAAGGACACGCCCCCUCAUGACGUCGACCCCCACCUUGGCCUGAUGACUGGGUGGUUUUAAAAGAAAAAAUGGCGCGUACCUACCCGACCCUCCGGGGAAGAGGCCAGUGUCGACAUACUCGCGACCAUCGCAAGUUCAGUAUAAGUUGGAAUCACCGACUUCUCAGUGUUUCCGGACACGUCUGAACCACGUCUCACUCUCCCACCAGUCACGCCACCGGAAGCUGCUCAUCGCCGGAGUCGAGUCCGCUCGCUGUCUUCCGAGAGCCGGAGAGGCAGCAGUUUGGGCGGCUGCACGGAGGCGGGCGGGCGGCUGUACUCUACCUGUUCUCCGGAACGACCUGACUCGGCGGCAACGGAGCGGGGGCAGCCGUGAUGGACAGCAGCUGAUUAGGGGGAAGUCCAGAGCAGGUUUCGUUUGCUCCGAACGCCCCAAGGCUUUCUCAAGGAGGAAAACAUCUCGGGCCUGUACCGUGCAAACACGCCUCCCCCUCCUCCCCCCGAUUACUUAUUUAUUCCUUCGCUCUGGGUGAUGUGUUGACAGCCGAGGGCUGAACAGGGUAUUGUUGUUUAGAGCAGAUUCAGUGACGAACUGCUCUACGGUCCACUGGGCUUAAUUCUCACGCUGGAAAUCCGGCAAUGAAUUACAUUAAGGAGGGCAGAGGAAGAUGCAUACUUUCCUCUUCUGUGGUCAGUAAUAGGUUUGGUAAUAACAUCUACAUUUUCUCAGUCCUUAUAAGUAUAUUUGUGUCAGACACCCAGAGCACAUGCGGCACAAGGACAAAGUAGAUGACCUGUACUGAAUGGGAGGAUAUCUGAAAAAAAGACUCACGAGGAAGAAAAUGUAAAGAGGAACAUUUCACAUGGACACCACAGAUGACCGAAGUCAAGUCAGUUUUAUAGCCUGGUAUAAUAAAUCACACACUUGCUUCAAAGAGCGUAACAAACUGCCCGCCGUACAAAAACCCUCUUUCUUCAGAGCCUUGGUUCAAGUGAGGUAAAACUUGAACCAGGAAGAGAAGAGGAAGCAAUCUCAAAGAAAAGCAACGGAGGAAGGAUUCCUCUGCCAGGACCGCUUGACAUGAAAUAGAAGCCAAGUUUAAAGAAAGAAAAGAGAAAUGUUUUUUGAAAUAUUAGAUUAAUGAAUUAACAGUAGCAGAUUUAUUUUAUCCAAAUCUAUUUCUUGUUUUUGUGCGUCCACUGUCAAACCACAAGAUUGUAGCUUGUUAUAUCAUACUUUAACCAUUCCAAGUAAGAUAUAGAUCACAUAACAUAUAACAUUCAUGUUUAUUUAUGGUAAAAUAUGUGAUGCACAAUUACAGUGUAGACACACACACACACACUGGAUUCAGUUGGGAAGUACACCCCUUGGACUGAUUGAAAGCUUUUAAUGUGGAACAGAUGCCAGAAGUGUUGAGUUUGCAUUAACAGCAAACGACAGCAACAGCAAAAUUGUCGCAAUUAAUGGUAGCACACUUCAUGAGGCUUAUGAAUACAAAUAUAUAUUAUAGCAUAUUUGCAAAUUUUAACGGAGAUGGAGAUAAAGAUGAAGCGGUCUCCAGUAUAGGCAGAGUGAAGCCAGAAUAAGAUCAAUAAUAAGGUAAAGAAAAUAAUGAAUUUAAGAAUUAUUUGGCUCUGGUCGUCAUUAAAUAUGAAUAAAAACAAAAAAGUGAAAGUGACGAGGAAAACAGGAAAUGAUGCAAGUUAUUUAUGUAUUUCUCUACAUGUGGAAAGCAGAGACACUCCAGCUGUGGCACAGCACACGGUGGAGACAUAAUGUGAGGAAGGUUAAGAAUAGAACCCACGUAUAGUCCUGAAAUGUCAUCAUCUUACAAAUCCAACCACAAUAUUGAAGCUUCGUGCUCCCGUUGGCCCUCCCGACAUAUUUCACGUAUUGAUUUCCUAACCUCUUCCUCGGGUUAUAUACAUGGAAAUACCCAGAAAUCACUGUGAUCUGCUCCAGCUGAGACACUGGCUGCUGGUGCACAGAGCAAGAGCAAGCACACACUAUAUAUUUAUCAGUGUACUCGUGCUGGUAACUGUGUUUCAUAAGCACAGUUUAUCCAUUAUAAUAAAACACAAUUAGGGUUGUAAUGCACUGCAAACACUGGUAUGCUACUGACUGUUGGUACUGUUAAACAUCAUCCAGCCUGUAAACCUGUCAUUCAGAAUUUUCUUUACAAGUUACUACAUUUGCACAAUGAACCUUAAGAUGUUCAUUAUUUUUUACAGCCUUUUA